AAGCACUGAGCACCCACGGCUUAUCAUGGAGCUCUGGCUGAGCUGGGUUUUCCUUGUUGCUGUUUUGAAAAGUGUCCAGUGUGAGGAGCAGCUGGUGGAGUCUGGGGGAGGCUUGGUGCAUCCUGGCGGGUCCCUGAGACUCUCCUGUGCAGCCUCUGGAUUCACCUUCACUAACCACUGGAUGAACUGGAUCCGCCAGGCUCCAGGAAAGGGGCUGGAGUGGAUCACAAGCAUUGACUAUGGUGGUAGUAACACAUACUAUGCAGACUCAGUAAAAGGCCGAUUCACCAUCUCCAGAGACAACGUCAAGAACACGCUGUAUCUGCAAAUGACGAAAUUGAAAACCGAGGACACUGCUGUGUAUUACUGUGCGAGAGACACACUGAGGGGAUAUCAGUGUGAGCCCAGACACAAACCUCCCUGCAGGGUCUCUUUCGGCCAGCAGGGGGCAAUGAGAAUGCAGAAGAAUCAAGACUAA